AUUGAACGCUGGCGGUAUGCCUAACACAUGCAAGUCGAACGGCAGCACAGCAGAGCUUGCUCUGUGGGUGGCGAGUGGCGGACGGGUGAGUAAUACAUCGGGACCUACCCAGACGUGGGGGAUAACGUAGGGAAACUUACGCUAAUACCGCAUACGUCCUACGGGAGAAAGCAGGGGAUCUUCGGACCUUGCGCGGUUGGACGGACCGAUGUUCGAUUAGCUUGUUGGUGAGGUAAUGGCUCACCAAGGCGACGAUCGAUAGCUGGUCUGAGAGGAUGAUCAGCCACACUGGGACUGAGACACGGCCCAGACUCCUACGGGAGGCAGCAGUGGGGAAUAUUGGACAAUGGGCGCAAGCCUGAUCCAGCAAUACCGCGUGUGUGAAGAAGGCCUUCGGGUUGUAAAGCACUUUUAUCAGGAACGAAACGCUGUCGGUUGAUACCCGGCGGAACUGACGGUACCUGAGGAAUAAGCACCGGCUAACUUCGUGCCAGCCGCCGCGGUAA
rnacentral:rRNA from 1 species